UCCAGUGUGGGAAACUAGCACUGCCCUGGCCUUUACAGUGGCUUAGCUCAGACUGAGUCUAAAUCUCCAUUGUUCACCCCCCAAAAUAAAAGAAAGAAAAGAAUCCUGACUGAUGUAGGGGAGACCAAAGUGAACAAGAAAUGACUGUCUUCCUCAGGACCUCACAGGUCUGCAGCGGAGGUCUUGUCUUCACAAAAACCUCUGAUGUGAGGUAGUCUCUCAGCGAGAGCCCUGAGGUCCUGUGGUCUGUUUACCAGGAGGGCGUGGAAUUCCCCAACUCUUCCAGGGUGGCUGACGAUGGCUACAGACACAGGCCAGCGUCCUGUAGGGCCUACAAGCACAGGUCAACUAGAAUGCUCUGGUCAGCCGGGGCCUCUCCGCCUCCUUUGUCUAACUUGCCAUCGAAAAUGAGGUUUUCAUUGACAUAAAGCUUCACGUUCUUGGCACCGAUGUCGAGAUCCUGAAAACACAAAAUUUAACAAAGUGAAGAUGCGUGGCAUCAGACUGCUGUAUCCAAUUUCAGAACGGAGGGUAAAAAGGGCAAAUGUGGGAUGCUAUAGACGUGAGCCUUACAAAACCACGGCAUGGGGGUGCUACAUGAGACUCGGGCUCAUAUCUGUGCAACUGUUACACACUCUCUAAAUCAAAGGACUUUCACAGAGAGACAGCAUUGCUGUCGCCCUCAUCGUUACCUCCUGCUGGGGUGUUGGUAAUGGCCUGCUAAUUGGCCUCCCUGCUUCCUGUCUCUUGCUACUUCAACCUCAGCUUCACAUGGCCCCCAGGAGCAGAUCUGGCCACCACUUC